GUCUAUAACUGGAGAUCACAGAGUCUCACUCAACAGCAAGACAGGAUGGAACUCACACCACUAUGCUGGCUACUCUUGCUGUUGAGUACACUGGUAUACUGUAACCUCGGACAAGGUGGAGAUCUCUCUCUUCC